rnacentral:rRNA from 1 species
CCCUAUGGGGUGCAGCAGGCGCGAAACCUCCGCAAUGCACGGAAGUGCGACGGGGGGACCCCAAGUGCCACUCUUAACGGGGUGGCUUUUCUUGAGUGUAAAAAGCUUUUGGAAUAAGGGCUGGGCAAGACCGGUGCCAGCCGCCGCGGUAACACCGGCAGCUCAAGUGGUAGCCAUUUUUAUUGGGCCUAAAGCGUUCGUAGCCGGUUUGAUAAGUCUCUGGUGAAAUCCUAUGGCUUAACUGUGGGAACUGCUGGAGAUACUAUUAGACUUGAGGUCGGGAGAGGUUAGCGGUACUCCCAGGGUGGGGGUGAAAUCCUGUAAUCCUGGGAGGACCACCUGUGGCGAAGGCGGCUAACUGGAACGAACCUGACGGUGAGGGACGAAAGCCAGGGGCGCGAACCGGAUUAGAUACCCGGGUAGUCCUGGCCGUAAACGAUGUGGACUUGGUGUUGGGAUGGCUUCGAGCUGCCCCAGUGCCNAANGGAAGCUGUUAANUCCACCGCCNGGGAANUACGGUCGCAAGACUGAAACUU